rnacentral:lncRNA from 1 species
UGGCCUGCUUAUGCCUCCCCAAGGAUGGCUGGGUACAAGUACAAUCAUAAUCACUUGUCACACGUUGAGGAUACAUGUGCCCCUCAACCCAGGCCAGACUACACGAUGGAUGUGAAGAUAAUGGACCUGAGUGAGGCUUGAUUGGCAGAGAUGGUCCUGGCUGCUAAGGAUCAGCCUCCUCACCUUAAGCAGAUUUGAUCAUGAUCUCCAGCCAAAGGGACCUCAGCAUCAACUCUGAAGAACCGCACCUGGAUUCCAUCGCUCUUUGGACACUAUAUGAUGAGAUCCAUGACAGCAGUGAGGACUGGGAUCUAUUGCUCCCUUUUAUCUCCACCAACAUGUGUCUCUCUUGCUCUAUCAGCCAAGGAAGCCACCCUCUAGGCACCUCGAAGACCUCAUCCUUGGAUGGGCAACUUCCAAAUGCUUCUCCUAACCUGUGGGACUGUGGGUUUCAUUUCUUACGACUCUGGGAAAGAAUUCUCAAUAAAUCCAGUUAGGUGAUAGAAUUUUCUCUUGUUUUCUUAAUUAAUAUUAAUAAACAAAUUAAGAUGGUGAUAUAAACUUGGCAACAAUACUCCCACUAUACAGAGUAAUCAAAGAUGUUUUUGAGUGACAUCAUCAUCAGUAUUUUCUCUAUGAAAUAAGUAAAACAAGUUAUUAAUAUUCAGUUCUGGUCAUGAAAGUACUGGUAUUCAGUAUUCAUAUAUGAUGAUGCUGUCAUAAAUUGGCCCAGUUUGGAAAGCAAUUUGGAAAUAAUUAUCAGGAGCCAUAAAGAUGUUUAUAUCCUUUGGGUCAAUAAAUCCUGCUUCUGGCAAUCUAUUUUUAAGAGACUAGUCAAAUUAUAGGACAAAGAUACUGUGUUCACAAAAUAAAGAUGGGGUGAGUUCCCUCAUGAUGCUUCUCUUUACAUUCUGAAUCCCAGCUGCACACAGGUCAUCCUAGCUCACUGGUUCUCAAAAUGCAGUCCCUGGACCAGAAGCAACAGCGUUAUCUGGGACCUCAACAGAAACAUAAGUUCCUGUGAUCCAAUCCAGAUCUAUAGACCUACUAGUUCAGAAACAUUGGGGGUGGAGCCCAGCAAUUUGGGGAUUUAGCACACACCCCAGGGGAUGGCUGUUGCCUGUUCAAGUCUGAGAACCUCUGACCAAACUUUUAGUAGAGCCUCUGGGAAUUUGACAAGAGCAGCUGAAAGGAGCAAAGGGGGAGUGCAUCCUGACUCUGCUCAGUCUGGACAUCACCUCUCCCUCAGCUUAUCACUGGCACACAAUUCAUGAGGCACAGUUCUCCUUGAUUUCUUUGGCCGAUUUUCAGAGGUUUCCAGCUCCUGCCAAUCUGUAUGACAUCUCCACAAAAUGGAGAGAGGAGAGACAGGAGAAGCCUUUUUAAUGAAGUUGUCUCCUGUUGGAGUUGUAAACAGGGAGUGCAAGAUGUAGGGAUUAUUCCUUGUCACCCUAAAAAGUGUUCUGAUAAACACAAUAAUAAAAUGGUCAUGCCUAAAGCUCCUAGAAAAGACAACCUCAUUUCCUUCUUCCGCUCCCCUGGGUGGGAAGAGAGGAAAAUUCUGCUGCAGGACAAACCCAUCCCUCGAUGAGCCUGACCUAGGGAUGGCUCACACAAGGCCCCUGCUCACUGGCUGCUACAGUCUGUGGCCUCACCGUAUUCUCACCCCCACCACGAGCAUGUCUGCUUAUGCACCGUGAAUUAGAUGUGGCUGUCCUGCUGACAUGGACAAAUUGGCAAUUACAGCAGACAUAAUUACGCCCUGGACUUUCUUCCUGAGCUGGUGCUUGCUGGAGAUUGCCCCCGCAGGUUGCCUUUUGAGUCCUGUGCUGCACACGAUGCCUCCAGAACCUCUUCCUCCUCUUUCCCAGGAAAAGAGCAGCCCAGGCAACUUGCCAGCUCUGCCUUGCUCCUCCUCGGCCAGCUCAGCAAUUGGGACUGCCACCACCCAGGCACGUCUUCCAUAGGACCAGUGACAGCAGGAUCUGGGAUUGGGUAUGCUCCACUCAGCCUGAGCAGGCUGGGCUGAAGAUACAUCCCACAAAUUAAUUAACUUACAGUGGGCUCUUAUAACUUUGAUAGUUACCAAAUGGAAAUGUCAGAAUUGAACACAUGGUGUCUAUAAGUUGCCUAAUAACUGGGGUGACAGGCUGGAUCUUCCUGCAGUCAUGCAGCAUUGAAAAAGUAUUUCUUUUUGGUUUGCUCAUGUGAAUUUCGUUAUGUAUUGGGGCAUGUCAUGGUUCUUUUUUCUGUCUAGUUGUGCAGAACUGAUCUUGGUACCCACAAACAAAUGGGAAGAUUAAGGUCAGUAGAACUGUGCUUUUCAAAUCAGACCAUAUACACACAUUACACAGAGAUUGGUUAAAAUGUAGGUUUUAAUUCAGUAGUUCUAGGAUGGAGCCCAAGGUUCUGCAUUCUUAAGAAGGUCCCAGGUGUUGCUGUUGCUGCUGCUGCUGCUGCUGGUCUGUGGACCACUAUUUGAGUAGCAAGAUUACAGAGCAGGGAUGGCCAAACAUUUGUACAUCAGAACAACACGGGGAACUUAAACAAGUCUUGAUGGGUGUCCCAUCCACUCCCUCCAGAGAUUGUGAUAUUUGGGCUGGGGUGUGGCCUAGAUUUUGGAACUUUUAAGACUUCAGGUGAUUGUAAUGUUCAUGUCAGUUGGGACCCACUAUCGAUAAACAGAUGACUUCUAAUGGAUUCAUCAGCAGCUUAAUCAGCAAGGGAACCAGGUUGAGGGAGAAUGUUAACGCCUGAUAAAGUGACUUGUAGAGUAGGCUUGCCCUGGGUUUCUGAAGCUGGAUGGGCCUUCAAAUCACCUGGGAACUUGUUAGGAAUUUGGAAUGCAGGGCAUCAGCCCAGAUUUACUGAAUUUGAGUCUGAAGUGGGGGCCUUGAAAUGUGUAUUUUUAACAGGCUCCUUAGGCACUCGGGAACAGCUAUCCCAGCAUGGGUUUGUGACUGUCUAGCUGAACCACUGUCUCCCAGUGGCCUGCCACAUGAGGCUUUUAUUGGCUCCUCUAAGCCACCUGCUGUUGCACAUUAGAUAUGUUUUAUUUGAAAUAGAGUCUGUUCUGCUUCUAUAUGUCUUAUAAAAAUUCCAUGUGGUAUUGGGAAAAUUGGACAGCCACAUGUAGAAGGAUGAAACUGGACCAUUCUCUUAAACCACACAAAGAUAAAAUGGUUGAAACAUCUAAAUGUAAGACAAGAAUCUAUCAAAAUCCUAAAGGAGAACACAAGCAACAACCUUUUUGAACAUGGCCACCGCA